UACGUAGGGUGCGAGCGUUGUCCGGAAUUAUUGGGCGUAAAGGGCUCGUAGGCGGCCAACUAAGUCAGACGUGAAAUCCCUCAGCUUAACUGGGGAACUGCGUCUGAUACUGGAUGGCUUGGAUUCGGGAGAGGAAUGCGGAAUUCCAGGUGUAGCGGUGAAAUGCGUAGAUAUCUGGAGGAACACCGGUGGCGAAGGCGGCAUUCUGGACCGAUAUUGACGCUGAGGAGCGAAAGCCAGGGGAGCAAACGGG
rnacentral:rRNA from 1 species